GCAUCGGUGAUUCAGUGGUAGAAUGCUGGCUUUCCACGCGAGCGGCGCGGGUCCGAUUCCCGGCCGAUGCA
rnacentral:tRNA from 1 species